UACGGAGGGUGCAAGCGUUGUUCGGAAUUACUGGGCGUAAAGAGUGCGUAGGCGGCUUGGUAAGUUGGGAGUGAAAUCCCGGGGCUCAACCUCGGAAUUGCUCUCAAAACUGCUGAGCUAGAGUAUGGUAGGGGAUAGUGGAAUUCUUAGUGUAGGGGUGAAAUCCGUAGAUAUUAAGAGGAACACCAGAGGCGAAGGCGACUAUCUGGGCCAUUACUGACGCUAAGGUACGAAAGCGUGGGGAGCAAACAGG
rnacentral:rRNA from 1 species